UGGAACGACGCGGAAACGUUAUGAUAAGCUCGCGCUGAACUUGACCCACUCGACGAAGCGGUUCCUACACAAGCAACCACUACAAUGAUAUGAAGUUACGGGCGGCUCGUGCAAAGCCGUAACACGAUAACAGCUGUUGCAUACCUCUCGAUUUGCGGGACAGCAAAAGUUUCGACGAUCGCGUGUCCGACGGUUGCACGAACAGGAGGCUCACGCACACAUCUACUGCGAAGUGUGAAUGGCUUCUGUGAACCUGACCCGACCGACAAACCACCACCACCAACAUCACCACCGACACAACCACUAACGUCGAGACCCAUUACAUCAGCGUCGACGGAAGCAGCAGCUACACGCGGACCUGCCGCGACCAUGUGUACACGUAUGACUGAACGAGAGAGAGAGAGAGAGAGAGAGAGAAAGAGAGAGGAAAUGUGUACGCGUGCGACAAAUACAUAAUACUUACAUAGGGAUAUACACACACAUACACAUAUACAACCAUACAAGAGCGUGCAAAGCAAAAGCUUUCUCGUGGAUUUGUUUAGUACGUAGUACCUACUCUGGUCGACCUCGUGCAACACCAGUCCCCCCUCUUCCAAACACGUAAUACAUAUACUUUACGGACCGCCUACCGGCAAAAGCCUCCAUAUAAUGCAGGAACGGUUGGGCGCGUGCCAAUUCUUUCGAGGCAGCCAACAAACAAGGAAGAUUAACUGAAAGAACGAAAAGAAGACGCAACCUCUCCUCCUUCCAUCCCUCUCCGAGCGCUUCCUUCCCACACACUCAAUGACUAAGGCCUCUUUAACACCUGAUCAGUCACGCUCGAUUAACGAUAUCCUAAAUCACGUCCAUCUUUCCAUUCUUUCCUCGUUGAGAGGUGGUACCGGAAUAGGAAAUAAAAAAAUAUCUAUACCUAGACCUUCGAGGUCCGAAAGUUGAUCAUCGAUCACUUCAAUACAUAUAUAUGUAUAUAUAUAUAUAUAUAUAUGUGUGUGUGUGUGUGUAUGUAUGUAUAUGUUUGGUUCACCCAUAUCAAAAUUCUCGUUAAAAAUAUUUUACAUCAUUUAAUUAAUAACAAUAAUAAUCUUGUUUUGUAACACGUGUUUUCGAAUAAUCCUAUAGACGUUCAUGAUAAAUACUUUUAUAUUAUAAACGUUCGUUAUAGUAUUGGAUUGUCCGGAAAGUUCGUGUCGAUUUUGUCAUUACGUUACCUAUCACAAAUCGGCACGAACUUUCCGAACAAUCUAAUAUUUUGAAUAAAAUGUUUGUGUUUAUAUGGAAAAUCGAAAUAUCGUAAAAAAUGUGUAGUAACGAGUAAAAAUGACAAAGAUAAAAAAAUAAAGAAGGGAUAAGAGAAGGAGCAAACGUAUAAAUACGGGUACACUUGGUAUUUGCAACCGGAAAGAUUUUGUCGAUCUUUCUCCUACUCCUCCUCCUCCACCUCUUUCUUCUCCUUCUUCUUCUUCUUCUUCUCUUUCCAGCUGUGCUUUUAACCGAGCGCUCGACCGAAUCGUUCCGUGACUGAGAAAACCGAGAUUUCAUUGAAGAACAAUAGGUACACGACACCUGUAAAGGACAAGCCACCAAUGGCGGCGGCACCUAGACCUAGAUUACGACAAUAACGUUGCUUACCACUGACGCUUUCAAACGACUCGAGCCAAGAGGAAUCAAGAGGGACAACAAAUAUAUGCUAGUUUGCCGGAGAGGAAACGUCGCAGUGCCGGAGGCACCAACAGCAGCAACAGCAACAGCAACUACAGCAGCAGCAACAGCAGCAGCAGCAGCAGCAACAGAGGCGGUAGUAACCGAGAAUGGAGGGCGAGAGGUGUACCAGUGAGGGAUCGGGAAACUAUUGACCACGUUGGGAAGCCGUUUAACCCCCACGAGCGCGCGCGAAACGAGACUGAGAGAGAUAGAAAGCGACAGAGAGAGAUAGAUAGAUAGAGAGAGAGAUAGUUAGAGAUAGAGAAGGAGAGAGAGAGAGAGAGAGAGAGAGAGGACAGAGGCGCGCGAACUCGCACACGAACGCGAACGAGAUGUUCGGCCGUGAGUGAACGUGUAACCACCGGCAGGAAGGGAAAGCAUAAACGAUCUCUACACACGACGGGCUCAUUCAUGACGUUGGAACUUUGGUAGAGGUGUGAGACGCAUACUGCUGGGUAUAUCCUCGUGGCCACGUGCGAACCCGACCACGCACGUGCUAUUAUCGUAGUACUUAAAGUUCUACGUUCCUCGGUUCGUGAAAGCCGACAUUUAGUUGGAAUUUCCUAUCACAAUGAAAAUCUCUAUAGAUAUAAUCAUUUUCGUAUAGAUAUAUGUAUGUAAUGUAUACGAUUGCAUGUGUAUAUAUGUAUCUAUGUAUAUGCGAAAGGACAUAUAUGUGUAAAUCUUUUUAUGGCAAUUUAUUUUCAAAUCUUUAAGAUCUAUCGUAUUCGUCGCCAUGGAUGAACUCGUGAUUCCUUUGAUUUUUUAUCAAAUUGAAAAAUCUAUAUACGCAUCCAUG